rnacentral:rRNA from 1 species
CCCUUAGAUGUUCUGGGCUGCACGCGCGCUACACUGAUGCGAUCAACAAGUUUUUCCUAUGUCGAUAGACACGGGUAAUCUUUCGAACUCGCAUCGUGAUGGGGAUAGAUUAUUGUAAUUAUUAAUCUUCAACGAGGAAUUCCUAGUAGGUGCAAAUCAUCAGUUUGCAUCGAUUACGUCCCUGCCCUUUGUACACACCGCCCGUCGCUGCUACCGAUUGGUUGAUCUGGUGAAUUAUUCGGACUGCCGGCUGAAGGGGUUUCCUCAUCUGCCAGCGGAAAGUCUUGUUAACCCUAUCAACUAGAGGAAGCAGAAGUCGUAACA